UCACGCUGGCGGCGCGCUUAACACAUGCAAGUCGCACGAGAAAGUGGAGCAAUCCAUGAGUAAAGUGGCGUACGGGUGAGUAACACGUGGAUUAUCUACCUUCUAGUGGGGAAUACCUCCGGGAAACUGGAGACAAUACCGCAUAAGCUCGUAAGAGGAAAGCAGCAAUGCGCUGGAAGAGGAGUCCGCGGCUGAUUAGCUAGUUGGCGGGGUAACGGCCCACCAAGGCGAAGAUCGGUAGCCGGCCUGAGAGGGCACACGGCCACACUGGCACUGAAACACGGGCCAGACUCCUACGGGAGGCAGCAGUGGGGAAUCUUGCACAAUGGAGGAAACUCUGAUGCAGCGACGCCGCGUGAGCGAUGAAGCCCCUCGGGGUGUAAAGCUCUUUCGACGGGAAAGAUAAUGACGGUACCCGAAGAAGAAGCUGCGGCUAACUACGUGCCAGCAGCCGCGGUAAUACGUAGGCAGCAAGCGUUGUUCGGAAUUACUGGGCGUAAAGAGUGUGUAGGCGGUGCUCUAAGUCUGUCGUGAAAUCUCCCGGCUUAACUGGGAGGGUGCGGCGGAAACUGGAAUGCUAGAGGGUGGGAGAGGAAAGCGGAAUUCCUGGUGUAGCGGUGAAAUGCGUAGAUAUCA
rnacentral:rRNA from 1 species